ACUUUCUUGAGGUAUAAUUGACGUACAGUAAACUGCACAUAUUUAAAGUGUACAAUUGUUUAAGUCUGACAUGUAUAUAUAUCCAGGGAACCAUCACUAGUCAAGAUAGUGAAUAUAGUGGCACCUGGGUGUCACUUAGUGUUAGGUGUCCAACUCUUGAUUUCAGCUCAGGUUAUGAUCUCGAGAUUGGUGAGAUCAAGCCCUGCAUCAGGUUCUGCACUGACAGCCCAGAAUCUGCUUGGGAUUCUCUCUUUCCCUCUUUCUCUGCCUCUCCCCUGCUUGCGUCGGCUCUCUCUCUCAAAAUAAAUAAAUAAAAAUAUAUCCAUUGUACUAGCCAGAGUAAUCUUAGUUUAUGUAAAGUGAAAGUAACUGCUGAUUACAGCUGGGACUUUUCACAUACCUACAUCAUAAGUCACAUCCAGUUGCAUAUUUGUUGUAUACUUGACUGAGUAUAGUCAGUUACUGAGCAACCUUGGGAAUUUAGUUUUUAAAAAAUGAGAUUUUCAGUAAAGGUGCCGAGAUAAUUCAAUAAGGAAAGAAGUCUUUUCAAUAAAUGGUGUUGGAACAACUGGAAAUCUACAUGCAUAUGAUGAAGUUGGACCCCUAUCUCAUACCAUGUAUAAAAAUUAACUCCAAAUGCAUCAAAGACCUAAGCAUAAGAGCAAAACUGUAAGACUCAAAUGAAAACAGGUGUGAAUCUUUGUGACUUUGGAUUAGGCAGUGGUUUUUUAGGCAUGAUGCCUAAAGCACAGGUGAAAAAAAGACAAAUUGGGCUUCAUCAAAAUGUAAAACUUUUGUGCUUCAAAGGACAUCAAGAAAAUGAAAAGAAUACAGAAUGUGAAAAAUAUUUACAAAUCAUGUAUUUGAUAAGGGUAUAGUAUCUUAAAUAUCCUAAGAGUUCUUAUUUAACUUUUAUAAGUCAUCAGUAAAAUGACAACCCAAUUGAAAAUGGGCAAAGGAUUUGAAUAGACAUUUCUACAAAGAAGAUACAAAAUGGUCAAUAAGAACAUAAAAAGAUGUUCAGUGUCAUGCACUAGGGAAAUGCAAAUCAAGAUCACAGUGAGAUCCCACUUCAUCCGCUAGCAUAGUUAUAAUUAAGAUGAGGGACAAUCAAAAAGAUGGCAAGCCUAUGGAUACAUUGGAAGACUCCUACACUGCUGUAUAAUUGGCAGGAAAGUAAAAUGGUACAGCCCCUUUGGAAAACAGUUUGGCCGUUCCUCAAAAUGUUACACAAUUACCAGGUGACAGUGUUCUGUACAGCAAGAGAAUUGAAAAGAUGUUCAUGCAAAAACUUGUGCAUCAAUGUUCACAGCAUCAUCCCUGGUAGCCAACAAGUGGAAAUCACCUAAACGUCUAUCAGCUGAUGAAUGGGGAAACAAAUGUGGUAUGUCCAGACAAUGGACUAUUUCUUAGCCAUAAAAAGAAAUGGAACCCAGAUACAUGCUGCAAUGUGCAUGAACCUUGAAAACAUAAUGCUAACUGAAAAAAGCCAGUUACAAAAGGCCAAAUCUUAUGUGAUUCUGUUCAUAUGAAAUGUCCAGAGUAGGAAAAGUAGCAAGUAGAUUAGCAGUUACCUAGGGCUGGGGGAAAAGAAUAAUGGGGAUUGAUUGCCAAUGAGUAUGCAAUUUGUUUGGGGUGAUGAAAUGUUCCAGAAAUUGCAUAAUGGUGAUAAUUAUAGAACCCUUGUGAAUAUUCUGAAAGUCACCAAACUGCACAUUUUAAGAGGGUGAUUUGUACGGUGUGUGAAUCAUAUCAAAUUAAAAGAAAAGAAAAGAAAAGAAACAGGGAGUAGACAACCAAGGCCUCAGAAAAAAACAAUAUACAUACACAAAAAUGGGGCCAAGCCUCAUGUUUUUUUCUUCACAGGGGAGCUCCUCGGGCCCUCACACAGAGCUUAUUUGUAAUUUAGAUUAAGUUCUGACAUAUGAAUCAUCUGGCUCCUUUGUUGUACACUAAGCCAGUUUACCACAAUGCUCUUCCUCUAAAAACUGCCCUCCCUUGCAGAGGUGGCCCCAACAGCCAUUUUUAUACUGUGUGACCUUAUCAUUUGGGCCACACAGGAAACCUAACCCCAAAGGGCCAACCUGAUUCUCUCCUCUGGGACUGUGGCAAUUGGAGAGAAGAAGUUCUUUGUUCUCUGCAAGUGACCAGAACUGAGUUGAUGUAACCUUCCAGUUGUGGCAGAGUCAUGUCCAUGGAGAAGCCCAGAAGGGGAGUCUGCAGAAACAAAAGAAUGAGACAGAUGGGCAAAGGGGCACAGAGUUAUAAGACCUAAUUAUGAGCGAUCAAAUCAAAUUCAUUGUGGACAAUCUCAAUAAGGAGCCUUUUAGGAAGAACUAUAAUUUAAUAACAUUUGAUUCCCUGGAGCCAAUGCAACUAUUGCAAAUUCUCAAUGAUGUUCUGGCUGAGAUUGACCCAAAGCAAGUUGUUGAUAUCAGAGAGGAGAUGCCAGAGCAUACGGCCAAAAGGAUGUUGAGCCUUCUUGGUAUCCUUAAAUACAAACCUCCAGGAAAUGCUACAGACAUGAGUACCUUUCGUCAGGGUCUGGUGAUUGGAAGUAAACCUGUAAUUUACCCAGUGCUCCACUGGCUUCUUCAGAGGACUAAUGAACUGAAGAAAAGAGCAUAUUUAGCUCGUUUUUUAAUAAAACUUGAGGUACCAAGUGAGUUUCUUCAGGACGAAACAGUGGCUGAUACCAAUAAACAGUAUGAAGAGCUGAUGGAAGCCUUUAAAACUUUGCAUAAAGAAUGUGAGCAACUCAAGACAUCUGGAUUUUCUACAGCAGAAAUAAGAAGGGAUAUCAGUGCAAUGGAGGAUGAAAAGGAUCAGCUCAUUAAGAGAGUUGAACGUUUGAAGAAAAGGGUGGAGACAGUUCAGAAUCAUCAACGGAUGCUUAAAAUAGCAAGGCAACUUCGAGUUGAAAAAGAGAGAGAAGAAUUUCUUGCACAACAGAAACAGGAACAAAAGAAUCAGCUAUUUCAUGCGGUGCAGAGACUGCAAAGAGUACAAAAUCAGCUGAAAAGUAUGCGCCACACAGCAGCAGAUGCAAAGCCUGAAAGUUUAAUGAAGAGACUAGAGGAAGAGAUAAAGUUUAAUUCUUAUAUGGUAACUGAAAAAUUUCCUAAAGAAUUAGAGAGCAAGAAAAAAGAAUUGCAUUUUCUACAAAAAGUGGUUUCAGAGCCUGCCAUGGGCCAUUCUGAUCUUCUUGAACUAGAAUCUAAUAUAAAUGAAAUAAACACACAGAUAAAUCAGCUGAUUGAAAAGAAAAUGAUGAGAAAUGAGCCAAUUGAAGGCAAACUCUCACUAUACAGGCAACAGGCAUCCAUCAUUUCUCGUAAAAAAGAAGCCAAAGCUGAGGAACUUCAGGAAGCGAAGGAGAAGUUAGCCAGCCUAGAGAGAGAGGUAUCAGUGAAGACAAAUCAGACCCGCGAAUUUGAUGGUACUGAAGUUUUGAAGGGAGAUGAGUUCAAACGAUAUGUCAGUAAACUUCGAAGCAAGAGUACAGUUUUCAAAAAGAAGCAUCAAAUAAUAGCUGAAUUUAAAGCUGAAUUCGGCCUCUUGCAGAGGACAGAAGAACUUCUUAAGCAACGGCAUGAAAAUAUUCAACAUCAACUGCGAACUAUUGAAGAGAAAAAGGGCAUAUCUGGAUAUAGUUACACUCAGGAAGAGCUGGAAAGGGUAUCUGCACUGAAGAGUGAAGUCGACGAAAUGAAAGGCCGAACGCUAGAUGACAUGUCUGAAAUGGUAAAAAAACUGAAUUCACUGGUGUCGGAAAAGAAGUCAGCUCUAGCCCCAGUUAUAAAAGAACUACGACAGUUGCGUCAGAAAUGUCAAGAACUAACCCAGGAGUGUGAUGAAAAGAAAUCCCAGUAUGAUAGCUGUGCAGCAGGCCUCGAAAGCAAUCGGUCCAAAUUAGAACAGGAAGUCAGAGGACUCCAUGAAGAAUGUCUUCAGGAAGAAAGUAGAUACCAUUACACAAAUUGUAUGAUUAAGAACCUAGAAGUACAACUUCGUCGUGCUACUGAUGAGAUGAAGGCUUAUGUUUCUUCUGAUCAACAAGAAAAAAGAAAGGCAAUUAGGCAACAGUUUACAAAAAAUAUUGCUGAACAGGAAAACCUUGGAAAGAAACUCCGAGAAAAACAAAAAGCUGUACGAGAAAGUCAUGGUCCAAAUAUGAAACAAGCGAAAAUGUGGCGUGAUUUUGAACAAUUGAUGGAGUGUAAGAAACAGUGCUUUCUGAAACAGCAAAGCCAAACUUCCAUUGGUCAGAAACUCCUCCAACUGCACAAAACUUCUGAACUGUGCUUUUUAAAGAUAUGAAAAAGGAAAAUAUGAUGAUACCUACAAAAUACUCCCAAGACCUGUAGUGCUCAAAGAAGAUUUUAGUGAUGGAAAAGUCUCAGAGAAAAGGUCUAGAAACCAGAUCCCAGGGCCUGGAAUGUUUCUGUCCAGUCCCUAAGAUGCAUCUUUUCCUGUUACCAAAAGGUCUGAGACACCCAGUUGGUAAUCAGAAGCUCUUACAGGGAGCCUGGAAAGUAGCUGCAGACUCUUAUGGCAUUUUUACUUCCAAGUAUGAGGCUGGAUCUUAAGAGGAGCCUAAGAUAAAGGUGUGUGUCUGUCCACCAGCUCUACCAAGUGCUAUGCUACACACUUCACUUGAGGAAAGCUGCCUGAGGUGGUAUUUUGGAAGACCUGUGAUAACUCUGAAUCAUGAAACUGGAGGAACAGAACAAAUCACAAGUUAAAACAUACCUAACGUCUGCCAGAAAGUACCUGUUGAGAGCAUCAUUAGCCUGAAGUCUGGAUCUGAUGCACUAAGCCCUUCCCUUCCCUCUUAACCCCAAUCUCUUUAAUUGACAUUUAGUUGCCUGCGGUCAGAUCUCUUUCAAUCCCAGUGUCUACAGGCUCCUGAUCUUGGGCGACUGGGACAGCUAGACCUAUCUUUUCUUAGGCUCACUCUUGCUUUAUUUCCCUUUUUUUGGUGUGUGCAUACUGCUUUAAUUGGGCAAUCAUUAUGCCAUUCUCCCAUUAACGUCGGUGGGGAAGUGAGUAAUCAAACUCUCAAUUGUAAACUUCAGUAAGAUAAGGUCAGCAAGACGUGUGGUCCUGAGAUGGCACCCCGCACCCGCAAGGGAAAAUGACUCUCGGUGGCUCUCAUUGUUUUGGGGCUUGUUUGCGUUGCUGUGCACUUGUAAUGGAAAACGAAUAAAAAUAAAAAUCCCGGGGCCCAUUUUGGCGCGCGCUUGGGAAGUUAAUACCACUGUCCUGGCAGAAUUCCAGCUCAGGUCACUGCAUUCUGCUGGCGGAAGCCGCCUCAUGCGAUUUUCAGUGGAUGUCACUUUCUUCUUUGCAUCCUUCUCAGGGCUCCGUGUGCAGCGCAUUCAACAGCUGGCCCUUCCCCACCUGCAGGAGCUACAGUUCUGCAGAACUCAGAAUGACCCCUGCCUCUUCCCCGGGCAGGAAAUUAACCUGCUCCAAGGACCAGCCACUGAGAUAUUUGCUACAGUCAAGAUCUAUAUGAAUGUGUCUUUCUCGGAGUGCCUUUAAGCAGCCACAGAAUCAGAUUACUCUACUUAAAAGAUUUUUCAAGGAAUCACACAGUUUCUUACAAGUCUCUAAUGCAUAUAUUCCCUCCAUUUGUUUUGUAACGUUUUGUUAUGCAAACUAAAAAUGUCUCCUUAUCUGAAGUACUUAGAAAUUUAUCUCCCUUCCACCCAUAUAUGCUUAUUGUUGCUGCUUUUGUUUUCACAGAUUUUUUUUUCUAGUGUGUAACUCUUUCCCCUAUGAAAUGUAUUGCAUUUUAUGGUGCGAGGAAUGGUUCUAACUAGUUGUUCCCCCAUACAAAUAAUCUUCUGUUCUUAACAAUGUUUACUGAAUGGCAGUUUCCAAUUGUGUGUCUUGCGCACAUGACUUAAACCUGUCUGACCAUCAGCUUUCAGGAUCUGGGGAGAUAGGAAUGACACCUACCUGACAGGCUUAUCCCAAGGAUGGAGCAAGCCAGCACGUGAAAAGGUCCUAGCACGUUGCAUGCAUGGCAGAUAUGUGUUUAAUAAAUGAUGUCUUCCUUUUAGUCUCCUUUCCUUCCUUUUUGUCUGCAUCCGCCUAUUUUCUCCUAGAGCCCUUUUAUGUACCACUGAAAUCAAGCGUCUCUAGAAUGAUCCAAAUGUUGUCUAUCCCAGGUUAUAUAUUAGGAAGCUACUAAGUAGAAAGGUUGGGGGAAGUGGAGGAGGUAGAGGGCAGUGAAGACACUUUUCUUCAAGGGACCCCACCUAACAACACUUGCACUUUCUUUGCUUGCAAAUGACAGGCUGUUUCUGCAGCCUCCUCUGUCCCCACGUCAGAGGAUCCCUCUUAGAGGCUGCUCUUCUGAGGCCUUAAAAUGCUCCCCUCCCCAAGUUGCCAUGUCAGAUGUUUAAGGGAAAUCUGAUUUUUUAAGGACAAGGCUCUAUGUGUGGGUUGUUUUAUUUCGGGGGUAGGGUGGGGGUAGGAGUUGGCCAUGGGUUUGCUGCAUUCCAGGAAGAGGGAGGACUCUGCUCUCCUCCGAUGAGUCAUGGAAGAGAAACGUCUAAUGUUUGCAAACAUCUCCAGCCAAGCCUUUGCUUUCUUGGACUCCACCCAUCCCCCCCACAUCUGUGCAGAUUGGACCCACCUGAGAAGAUUCAAAAGCGAAGCUUGAAGGCUAAAGCAGAGGCUGUGGAUUCUACCACCAUUUGAAAUGGAAAACCACUAAGGGAAGGAAGGGGAAGCAGUACCCUUGUAUCUGGACUCCAGCAUGUGAGACACGGGACAAGACCUUACAUUGGGUGUAUCUGUCUCCAAAUCAGGACAUGAUCUGGGUGGUGCAGGAGCACUGAGUGAAUGAACAAGGCUGUCCCAAGAGGCGUCUGCAAAGGACUGGGAGACUGAGAGAAGCCUCUGGUGGGAGAAAGGAGCAAAGGGGAUUGCAGAGAAGAAAGCAAGGGCUAGGAAGAGGGGAAGCCUUGCAAGUGGGAGAAGCCAGGAGCUGCUGCUUUCGGGGGAGGAUGAAGGCCGAGCGGGCUGGUGAGAGACCGGAGCAGGCGGGGGUGUGCGGGAGAGGACCAUCGCCUCAGCCUCGGCAGACUGCUGGAGCCAGAUGGGGCUCAUGAUGCAUCUUCCCAGAUGGAACGGAUCAGGCUCGUCAGACAUGCUUCCCUCAGGAUACAGUGUCCCCCUCCCUCCCCCUCUCUGAAAUCAGGAGAGAAUCACAAGGUGACUUGGGAGGGCAGCCAGCCUCCAGGGAUCUUGUGUGAACUAUCAGGUAACGACAGCGGGAUCACAAUAGGAGACCUAAACAUGCCUCCACCACCACCACCCCCUUUUUUUUUCUAUUGUGGGACAUCAAGGGAGCAAGCUCAUGAGCUUGGGAACAAAGAUCCUAUUCUAGGAAUUUGUCCACUGCAACCCUACCCGGCACAUUCACAAGCCUUGGAUUUCUGCCCGACAGAAACUCUACCUGCUCACUGUGCCCCUACCACCGCCAGAGCAACACCCUGGCACCUGGCAGGGAAGGGAGACUCUGAGUGGCUCAUCAUUUAAAAUUAAAAAUCACAUUUAAUCACUGUUCAUUUUUCUACCAGGCUCCGAAGGCCCUGUCGUCUCUUCAUUUUAAACAUUUUGCUGUUCAAGAUCUGAGCACCUUGGGGGGUGAGACAGGAGGGCAGUGGAAGAGAACUUUUGAAAUCUUUCCACAAAAAUCAAAGAACAAACCGACUGGAGGGAAAAAUAGCUGCUAUAUUUAAACUACAUUAUCCCAUCAGGGAGUUAUGGUUUUGAAAACCAUUCCGCAGUACUUUGUUUGGCACUGAUGCAUGGGUUUCUUGUCUUUAAUUUUUUUUUUAAAUGGCAACAUUUUUUUUUUUUCCCAGAGCAGUAAUUGCAAAGGAAGUGAAGGGCUUCGUGAGUUAGUUUGGGAGAUAUGUACCGAACACCUGCUACAGGCCCCGCAUCACGCUAGGCACUGGGAGGACAGAGUAAAUGAGGGAGCCCUCAGGUCCUCAAAACAAAUAAUUAUCGUGCAUUCAUUCAUUAUUGUGCAUAUUUUAAGUACAUAUGAUCUCUGUUCUCCUGGAAUUUUUUAAAAAUAAGUUUAUUGUGUGUGUGUGUGUGAGAGAGAGAGAGAGAGAGAGAGCGCGCGGGCGAGCCAGGCGGGAGGGGCAGAGAGAGCAAAUCCAAUGCAGGCUUCGCACUGUCAGGGUGGAAUCCCGCUGGGUGGGGGGCGGGGCUUGAACUCACAAAUCGUGAGAUCAUGUGACCUGAGCCGAACUCAAGAGUCAGACGCUUAACCGACUGAGACUCCUAAGCCCCCCUCUCCUGGACUGUAUAAUUUGGUGGAAGAACACAGACAGCAAACAAGUGACUUGGUUGAUAAGCAGAGUGAAAGAGUACCAUUCACAUGUACAUUUGCCAAUUUGCUGUUCCUUCUGUUCCAAAUGCUGUUCUUCUCAGCUCUGACUAUGCAAAUGGCUAUAUAUUAUUCGUGUGCUCACUUCUCAGAGGGAGGUGACUAUCCAUCCCACCCCCCUAUCCCCCAACUGUCACUCUCACAUGUGACUCCAUGUCACAGUCAAGUGGCAAGAUCAGGUAGACAGGGGUACAGGAGUCUGGAUAUACAAAUGUGUCUGUCAUCAAUAUUUAGGUGGAAUUUAAAGCAGUGGGCCUAGGGGUGCCUGGAUGGCUCAGUCAGUUAAGUGUCUGACUCUUGAUUUUGGCUCCGGUCAUGACCCCACGGUUCGUGAGAUGGAGCCUCAUGCUGGGCUCUGAGCUGACAGUGCGUGCUGACAGUGUGGAGCCUGCUUGAGAUUCUGUCUGCCUCUCCCUUGCACUCACUCUCUGUCUUUCAAAAAUAAACAUUAAAAAAGAAAGGAGUCAGAUGCUCAACAGAAAAAAAUAAGCAAAUAAAGCAGUGGGCCUAAGGAAAGACUGUGGAUUGAGAAACAAUGUCGCACGUCCCUCGGUCCUGGAACACUCUGCAUUUCGGAUUGAGUACAAGAUGGGAAAGGCAAGAAAAAAAGCCUGAGAAGGAGAAGUCAGAGAAGUAGGAGGCAAACCCGAGUUACUAUACUAUAGUUGAGUGAGAUACAGAGUGCCGUGUGGGACACAGGACAAGGCACAACUCAUUUCUGGGGUGGUGAGAUCAGAAGUGAUGGAGAAGCGAUGGCCAUUGUCAGAGAAGGCCACCAAGAUGGGAUGGGAUUUAGCCUUCAUCUUGGGAGGAUGAUUAGGGGUUUGCCGGGAUCUGAGCAGCAGGCACAGCCUGAGCAAAAGUGCAGAGAACAGAUAAAUAAUCCAUUGUGGCAGGAGCUUUAGAACUAGAGGAGAGGCUGUGGCAGAUAUAUGGCAGAUAAAACAGAAAACUGCAAUGGAAUAAUCUAAGGCCAUUCCUAACCAGGCUUCCCAGUGUUCCAUGCUAGUUACUUCCUCCAAGAGGAGUUAAGCUCUUUGACUUUCCUCAAUGAGGUGGACCUCUUCUGCUUUGUCAACCCAACAUUCAUUCCUUUCCUUGAUUUGAUUUUCCUUAGGGGCACUGUUUUCCAGGGUGCGAGUCCUAAACCAGCAGCAUCAACAUCACCUGGGAACUUGUUAGAGAUGCACAUUCUUGGACUCUGUCCCAGAUGUACUGAAUGGGAAUUCUGGAGAUAGGGCCCAGCAGGCCCCCUGCAUGAUGUUGCCGCAUGCCAAAGUUUGAAGACCACUGCUUCAGGGAAACACUUCUUCCCAACUCUCCAUCCAUGUAAUUCAGGUAGGGCUGACCACAGUCCCUGUUUCAGGUGCAGCACAGGUCUCUCAGGAGAUAUUAGACUUUUCCCUCCAUGAACCUGCUAAACUUGGGGGACUAUAAACUGGAGAUGCUGGGGGCCAGGUCUGCUGUCACCUAGAGAGACCCUAUGUCAAAGCCAAAAGCAAAGGGACGCAGCAGAGCCAAGGAAUAGAGAGAUUCUCAGUGAUUUUAUUAGAGCACCUGGAUCAAGCUGUUCUGAAUUUGGUGUCUACUCCCAGUAAGUCCCUUUAUUACAAGCAUCAACUAGUCAGUUGGCUUUUGGACACUGAGUCAUCAAAAGAAGACUUAUUGGGGUGCCUGGUUGGCUCAGUCAGUUAAGCAUCCAAUUCUUGAUUUCGGCUCCAGCCUUGAUCUCAGGGUUUGUGAGACUGAGCCCCAUGUUAGCUCUGUGCUGAUAGUGUGGACCCUGUUUGAGAUUCUCUUUCUCCCUCUUUCUCUGCCCCCAACCCCUGCACUUGUGCCAGUAUGCAAGCACGCACGCACUCUCUCUCUCUCUCUCUUGAAAUAAAUUAAAAAAAAAAAAAAGAAUACUUAUCAAUGGAGGUGGGAGGCAAAUUCUGGAAAAGGCAUUAUGUAUCUGGCAAAUUCUCAGAUGUUAAAGUUGUAGUUUGUGAACACGUAGAAAACAUGGUAGUCACUAGGCACUGGCAUGUGUUCAAAAACACAAGCCAUGCAAACUGAACACAUUUCACAGAAAUUUGAAAAUUCACUAGAAUGUGACUUGGAGACUGUUCACUAGAACGUGGACUUUGAGUCUGUUGUAGACAAGGCAUGUAGAGCUUAGCAACACAUUGGACUAGUUCUCUCAUUAAGUUCUUAUGGGCAAGUCAAGAAAUAUGGGCUACAUAAUAAUGCAGUGAAUUAACAUCCCACAGUUACCUGAAGAGACUUUAAUUUACAUAACAAAGCCUUGUAAUAGUGUAACAAUUCUGCUCAUUAUUCCAUUCACCAGGCAUGUGUUCCAGAGUCAGUAGGAGAUGCCAGAUGUGACUGAGUUGGGUGGCCUUGGUUCCUACUUGCCUCUCAGUGUGAACACCUUACUGUUUUGAGCCUAGCAUAUAAAUAUGUACUUUUCAUAUAACAUGAUCCUUAAAUCAAGCUGACCACAUCAGGUGCUCAACCAAAAGAAUGUAUAGCAAAGUAUUCCAAUGCUAUAUAACAAAGUAUUAUGGGAGACAAAGAGGCAGGAGAGUGCAUUAUAAGAUUUUCAUUUUCCUGACUUUGGAACCUGUAGCCAAGUUGAUUUUAUAGCCAAGUUGAUUUUAUAGCCAAGUGAACAACUAAAUCCAGCUUAUUAGUUAUUUUCUAAUCUGGAAUGAAUGUCUAGACAUUCUAUUGGAUGAAGACAUAGAAGUCAUAAGUCAUGCUUACCAAAUUUAUGCGUAACCCAAGCUGGGACACAGAGAUAAAACAUGACUUGACGAUGAAGACUCCAAAAAAACCACAACAGACUGCAACGACCAAAAUGAACAUGAGAACAUUCCAUCAUAAUCAGAGUUCAAUGCCUGGGUUAAAAAGAAUCAACAGUGCAAGUACCCCAUGGGAAGAUUUAACAUGACUGCAGUUUAUGUAUACAGGACUCAGUUCUCAGUUGAUUGUUAAGACAAAUCAACAAUGUGCAGGGGAAACCAUCAGAACCAAAGGAGGACAGUGCGAACUCCACUAGGUCCUUGCUCCAAGACUAUGCCCAGACUUUUGUGUUUGGUGUUGGAUGUCUCCAAGCCUGGACAAUGAGGAUGCUGAGGGUUUGCAGACUCCUGCUGUAGGAGGAAUAGCUCAGGGACUGAGCUGUUCCUUUUAGCUGAGAAAAGAGACUUUAUAAAGCACAAUAGAUAUCAUGAAAUACUCAGAGGGAUCUCACAUAGAGGAGGGAUUAAAUGUAUUCAGAGUUGUUCCAGAGAGCUAAAGGAGAACCAAUAUAAAGGAGAAGCUAGUUAGGGGAGGAGGAUUCAGCCCAGAAUGAGAUGGCUUUAAUGAUGAGAGCUGUCCAAAUAUGGAACAGGCUGCCUUUUGCAAUAACCAUCGCUUUACAGGAGGGCUGUUGAGGGUUGGAAAGUUGGCCGGGGCCUGCUUUCCAGGUCACUGUUUUUUACUGGGUCUUUUCUGUCUGCCUAGCUUUUUUAACUAGCUUGCCUAUUACCAGCUAAUGUCCUCCUUUAUUAAUUCCUUUGAGGUUCUUUGAUCAAAUCAUCCAUCAUUCUGAAUUACUGUUUCUCUUCUUUUUCCUCUCCCUGUCCUCAAUUGAUUGAGAAUAGCUGCAAUCCUUGGAAGACAAUAGAGUAUUUUCUUUUUUUAUAAAUUA